AGGCGUGGCUUCCGGAGCUAACGCGUUAAGUCGACCGCCUGGGGAGUACGGCCGCAAGGUUAAAACUCAAAUGAAUUGACGGGGGCCCGCACAAGCGGUGGAGCAUGUGGUUUAAUUCGAUGCAACGCGAAGAACCUUACCUACUCUUGACAUCCAGAGAAUUUGCUAGAGAUAGCUUAGUGCCUUCGGGAACUCUGAGACAGGUGCUGCAUGGCUGUCGUCAGCUCGUGUUGUGAAAUGUUGGGUUAAGUCCCGCAACGAGCGCAACCCUUAUCCUUUGUUGCCAGCGAGUAAUGUCGGGAACUCAAAGGAGACUGCCGGUGAUAAACCGGAGGAAGGUGGGGAUGACGUCAAGUCAUCAUGGCCCUUACGAGUAGGGCUACACACGUGCUACAAUGGCAUAUACAAAGAGAAGCGAACUCGCGAGAGCAAGCGGACCUCAUAAAGUAUGUCGUAGUCCGGAUUGGAGUCUGCAACUCGACUCCAUGAAGUCGGAAUCG
rnacentral:rRNA from 1 species